AACGCGAAGAACCUUACCUACCCUUGACAUGUACGGAAUUCUGCUGAGAGGUGGAAGUGCUCGAAAGAGAACCGUAACACAGGUGCUGCAUGGCUGUCGUCAGCUCGUGUCGUGAGAUGUUGGGUUAAGUCCCGCAACGAGCGCAACCCUUGUCAUUAGUUGCUACGAAAGGGCACUCUAAUGAGACUGCCGGUGACAAACCGGAGGAAGGUGGGGAUGACGUCAAGUCCUCAUGGCCCUUAUGGGUAGGGCUUCACACGUCAUACAAUGGUACAUACAGAGGGCCGCCAACCCGCGAGGGGGAGCUAAUCCCAGAAAGUGUAUCGUAGUCCGGAUUGUAGUCUGCAACUCGACUGCAUGAAGUUGGAAUCGCUAGUAAUCGCGGAUCAGCAUGUCGCGGUGAAUACGUUCCCGGGCCUUGUA
rnacentral:rRNA from 1 species